GGAGCUAACGCGUUAAGUCGACCGCCUGGGGAGUACGGCCGCAAGGUUAAAACUCAAAUGAAUUGACGGGGGCCCGCACAAGCGGUGGAGCAUGUGGUUUAAUUCGAUGCAACGCGAAGAACCUUACCUACUCUUGACAUCCAGCGAACUUUCCAGAGAUGGAUUGGUGCCUUCGGGAACGCUGAGACAGGUGCUGCAUGGCUGUCGUCAGCUCGUGUUGUGAAAUGUUGGGUUAAGUCCCGCAACGAGCGCAACCCUUAUCCUUUGUUGCCAGCGAUUCGGUCGGGAACUCAAAGGAGACUGCCGGUGAUAAACCGGAGGAAGGUGGGGAUGACGUCAAGUCAUCAUGGCCCUUACGAGUAGGGCUACACACGUGCUACAAUGGCGCAUACAAAGAGAAGCGACCUCGCGAGAGCAAGCGGACCUCAUAAAGUGCGUCGUAGUCCGGAUCGGAGUCUGCAACUCGACUCCGUGAAGUCGGAAUCGCUAGUAAUCGUGGAUCAGAAUGCCACGGUGAAUACGUUCCCGGGCCUUGUACACACCGCCCGUCACACCAUGGGAGUGGGUUGCAAAAGAAGUAGGUAGCUUAACCUUCGGGAGGGCGCUU
rnacentral:rRNA from 1 species